GACUGCUUCCUGCCAUUGUCCUGGACUCUGGUUUGGCUCCCCUGUGGGUUGAACUGAUUUACACUUUUGCCUGUGCUGUGGCGGGUGGCUGCCUCCAGCUCUAGGCUUUGUUGAUAUAUUGGGAGCAGUUUGUUCACUAAUGGAAUACUCCAGGUCUCUGGAAAAACUGUUUGGGGACCACAUCACAAUACUAACAGUGAAAGAAGUUGGCUGCUCACCAGCUGCGCCUGCUGUCGAAGAAGUGGACGAGGAAGAGUUUCUCUGCGGACCUGAACUGCAUC